UGGGGAAUUUUGGACAAUGGGCGCAAGCCUGAUCCAGCAAUGCCGCGUGCAGGAUGAAGGCCUUCGGGUUGUAAACUGCUUUUGUACGGAACGAAACGGCCUACUCCAAUACGGUGGGCUAAUGACGGUACCGUAAGAAUAAGCACCGGCUAACUACGUGCCAGCAGCCGCGGUAAUACGGAGGGUGCAAGCGUUAUCCGGAUUUACUGGGUUUAAAGGGUGUGUAGGCGGGCAUUUAAGUCAGCGGUGAAAUCUCCGGGCUCAACCUGGAAACUGCCAUUGAUACUAUUUGUCUUGAAUUUUGUUGAGGUUGGCGGAAUAUGUCAUGUAGCGGUGAAAUGCAUAGAUAUGACAUAGAACUCCGAUUGCGAAGGCAGCUAACUAAGCAAAUAUUGACGCUGAGGCACGAAAGCGUGGGGAUCAAACAGG
rnacentral:rRNA from 1 species